CCAGCUACCGCGGUCACACGAUUAGCCCUAGUUAAUAGAGAUCGGCGUAGAGGGUGUUUAAGAUCUAACACAAUAAAGCUAAACUUCAUCUAAACUGUAAAACCCUAGCUAAUGUAAAAUAAACUACGAAAGUGGCCUUAAAACUUCUGAACACACAAUAGCCAAGGCCCAAACUGGGAUUAGACACCCUACUAUGCUUGGCCCUAAACCUCAGUAGUUAAAUAACAAAACUACUCGCCAGAAUACUACAAGCAACAGCUUAAAACUCAAAGGACUUGACGGUGCUUUACACCCCCUAGAGGAGCCUGUUCCGUAAUCGAUAAACCCCGAUCCACCCCACCCUCUCUUGCUCAGCCUAUAUACCGCCAUCUUCAGCAAACCCUGAUAAAGGCCACAAAGUGAGCGCAAACGCCACCACCGCGAAGACGUUAGGUC
rnacentral:rRNA from 1 species